UUCAAUUCACAAAAAACAAAUGAAAAAAAUAAGAUAAUAAUAUUUUUGUUUUUGUUACGAUAUGAACAACUUUAGGAUCGAUAAAAAUUUAAAAAAUUGUUCGAUUUCGAUAAAAUAUGUCAUGUAACUUUUACUUAAUACCACAAAACUAAAUUGAAACUGUGAAUACGCAGAAAUUUCGCGAUAAUGGACAAAAGUUUAGCCUCGUAACAGAAAACGCAAAGUCGCGGUUAAAGACGUUCAAGCGUUCUCGGGCUAUAUAAAAUAAAGCGACAGCAAGAGCUGCCAGUGUCGAUGAAGGUGGAGGCAAGAAAAGGACCGAUGAAGACUGGUCCAAAGGCGGGGAAAGGCGACGGCGGAAGCGUGGGAACCGAGCGUAACAGAUGGCCUCGGCUGCUUCCGAACCCGCUCGGCCUCUUUCGUGCACCUUCGUAGCAUCGGAUUUGCUUUCCGUUCUCGCGCGUUUCGUACGUUCUAUGUAUCGAUGCAAUUCAAUUCUCGCAAAAAUUUAGAUAAUUAGAUUCGAUAAUUUUCUUGUGAGUUAUCAUUGUUAGUAUAUAAUAUUUAGAUUUACUAUCAUACUAAAUCUUUUUUAAUUUUAAACAAGAUAAUCGAAAAAAUUGCGAAAUGUUCAAGAAAUCGAUAAAAUGAAUAUUUUAAUUUUCGAAGAAGAAAAUAUUUAACUGACACGUAGGUCGCAAAACAUUUUUACUGUUAUCAUGAGAUAAAGAAAUAAAUAAUAUUAAAAGAAACAAAAUUACGUAAUUAACUUACGAAGUGUAUAUCAUUCGAUUGACAGCGAAAUAUAGAUUGAGAGGUUAACAAUGAUGCAAAACAAAAAUUAUAAUAGAAGAUAUUAGCUGGCAACUUUUUUUGCUUAACCCAAUACUGUGCAUCGGUAAAGUCUCAGGAAGCAUUCAGACAUAUUUUAACAUGUUUGAAUGCAGUCAUAUUAUUGUAUUAGUAAUAAAAUCGAAUGCACAUAUAUAUCUGCAUAAAGGUAUUAAAAAUCCAUUAUUAUAAAUAUAAUAAAGGUUUAAUCUGAAUUCCAAUGAGUUUAACCAAUCUGUCGCGAAAUCUCGCGAGUUAGAAACUGAUGACAAUACAGGAAAUUGUCGGAGGAAAUAUCACAAAUACAUAAUCUUCAGGAAAUAAUAUGUUCCCGUAAAAAUCGUUGUAUCACAUUAUUUUUAUUAUCUUGCUUCACCAUGAUUCUGUGACCUAUGGGAUCAUUAAAACAGUUUAAUGAAGAGUGAUAUUAUCACAGUUUAAUGAAGAAUGAUAUAUAUAUAAACGCAUUACAAGAAACUCUCUGUUGUCUUUCAUGUUUGCAUUUUAAUAACUGUCAGAAAUAAUUAUGAGCUCUUGUUUUAAAAAAUCUUUAAGAAGGCGUUCUUUGAAAGAAAGAACGAAUUAUAGUGAGGACUAUCAUCAUUCUAUUUUUUCAAUUAUUUAAUUGCAAGUUAUUUUACAAUCCAAUCAUAUUGAUUUCUUUAUUACUUUUUACAGGACAAUUGGUUUUGGAUAAUUCCUAAAAAUAUGACUAAAUUAGUUGCCUGUGAACUAAUAUCUCUAAUUAGUUUUUAUUAAAUUACAUAUGAAGAGUGAUUCUUGACUCUCAUUUAGCAAUAUGAGGUAACGCAAAUGCUUACAAGUCGCUGUAAUUACUCCGUGUUAAUUUAAAAGCAAUCCCCGUCUCCCUUCUCAUAGAGGCCACCGCCUUCUUUGCGACCGGAAGUUGCUAUGGUGCCUGUUUCUUCCAGUAUUGUUCCCUCUACGCAUUCCAUUGUAAUGAACAAUUUCUAUCUUUUUCUCUGAUACUGCAUGAUUUAAGAAAAUAGAUAUAUAAGACAAUCAUGAUAGAAAUUAACAGAGUUCUUGAAGUGCGACCAUUAGUUUUUUUCCUUAUCUAUUCUUUUGGUACUUUUGAAGCGAUCCGUCAGUAUUGUUACUGAAAUUCCGUAAUGUUUUUAUCAUUUUAAUUGGGAAAAAUGAAUGCACCUUUUUAAAUAUAAUAAUCUUUCAUCGUUAGAGAAGACAGUUGAUGGUGAAAAAUUUAUUAUUAAAAAUAGUAUUUAUACAUAAAAUCAUCUGUUUGAUUAAUUAGAAUAUUAUUUAUAUUAAUUAAAAAUUUUGAAUAAAUAUAUAUUUGCAUUUUGAAAUUUUAAUGAAUAAAAAUUAAUAUAAUUUUAUUUACAUUUGAAUUACUUGAACUGACAAAUUUUUUUUAUAAAGUAUUCAAUAUGAAAUUCAAAAUUUAAGAGUAUUUAAACAAUUUAUAUCUCUUAAACACGUAAUAUUUAUUCACAGUUCAAGAAUUUUUUUUUAAUUUCUUUAAAUACUGAUAAUAAGUGAUUGCCAGUGAUUAAUAUUAAUAGUAAUUUAUGUGUAUGCUUAUUUACGUAAUGAUUGGACUGUCUUUGGUAUCUUCUGAUUGCAUUAAUAUUACGAAUACAUUUAUUUAUAUUUAUUUUUGUUAAGAUUAUGGGUAAAAAUACAAUGAUCAUGAAUCCUGAUAUGACAUCACAGAGAACGAGCCGCAUUUGUUCGAAAUUUAAAAGUUUGUAGAUUCCUAUGACUAGAUAAGAUACCAGAAAAAUGUACUCGAAAGAUAAAAGGCUAUCGGUAGCGCUUUUACUUGGAAAUCUAUCGCUCCAGUCGUCUUCUUAAAUAUAACAUCCGAAUGGAAUUUGUACACAAAAAUAUAUCUAAAUCGGUCAUUUAUAAAUGUUAUAUUUUGAAUGUGACCUGAAAAAAUUAUUAAUUAUUAAUUUUGAAAAAAAUUCCAGAAACAAUCAUAUAUUUUACUUAAUUCUUAAUUACAUUGUUUUUAAAUGUAAUUGUUCGUUUGAAUAUAUAUAAGUAUAUAUUUUGAUCGUAUCUUCGAAUAAAAUUAAUUUUUGAUUUUUCAGAAUAUUCUAAACGAGAUACGACUAUAAAAACUGUUUGAAAUUAAAAUGGCCUUGUUGAAAUUCUAAAAUUAUGCUCGUUCAUGGGUCGUGAACUUCUCUUGGAACCCUUAAAUUUUAUGUUACGACUCUUUGAUGUUCAUUCCAUGAGAACAAAGAAAGGAAUGUUCUAUUUUUCCAAUGUCAAGAAAAAUCUUCAACGAUAGAGAAAUGAAAGUUUUCUCUUUCCAUCGACUUUUCUCGCUUCAGUGAAAAAACCGGUGAACCUGAUCUUAAUUAACAAUCCAUUGUGUGAUUAAUCCAUGCAAAAUCUAUGUGAAAUUCAUGGAUCACGAAGAUUACCUCUAGGAAAUCGUUGAAUGCCAUCCCACGAUCUCUAAUUUAUAGGAUUUGAAGUGUACAGGCGAGCCCGGAUAGAUCCAUGAGCUCUCUGUAACCGACCGGAAGUUUUUCUUUCGCACGCGAUCAUCUUGUCUUCCUCCGGCUAGAAUGAUCGAUCCGCAAAUAGCGAUUCCACGACGGGAAACUCGAAAUCAAGCGAACAACCUGUAAUUAUUGAAUUUAACGUGCAUUUCAAUCGUAAAUAAAAUAGUGGCUUGAUACAAACCACAUAUAUACAAUAGUCGAAAAAUCGAUUUUUAAUUCGUUGAUGCGUAAUUUCGAUCAUUCAUAAUAAAAUACUAUGUGUAUUAAUCAUCGGACACGAUAUGUUUGGAAUAAACGAAGGCUACGUUGAAUACGGGGUGAUAUAAAAAGAGAUUUGAGAGAUUGUAAUAAUGAAUCUUCUCGAUGAUUCAUUAUGGCUUUCUUACUUUUAAGUGAAAAAUUUAAUGAAAAUUUAAAUAAUAUCAAUGGAUUGAAAGAUUAUAAAAAAGAAAUGAUCGAAAUUGUGAAUCGUGUGGAUUGGGUUUGUUGAGGAAUUUUAGUUUGAAACAGAUUAACAAGCGUAGCGAUUCGAGAGAUAUGAUAUGUUAAUCUUUAGUCAUCGAGUUGUCAAGGUCGCAUGGUUUCGAGUUGACGAAAAAAAAAAUGAGAUUCGAAUGCGUAACCAUCAUGUUCGUGCAUCGCUAAUAUCAGUGGAAGAUUUUUCGAAUACCGAACACUCUCGUCAGACUGCUUUCCGUUUCAUUAAAAUAAUGUGCGUUCCUUGCCCGAUGUAUCAGUUCUCGAAGAAUCGAAUUUUAUAAAUGUAUUUUUGAAAAUUAUUUGCAUUUCAAAAAAUAUCUACUGACGAUUUAAUAAUUAUCAUUCGUUUCUUUUCAGAAUCUUAUUAGUUUUUUUUUAUCUAUCUUUUUCAAAAUGAAGACAACUUCGUGUAAAAUUCUCAAGAUCUUGAAUGUAUGAAAAAGAAUAUUAAAAAAAUUGGAGUUUCUAGAGAAUUUUCACACGGCAGACCGAGUUAGAAAAUUCCUGCGGGACCGCAUAACGCAGAGAUGAUCAUCGUCCUCGAGAAUAAGUGGAACGUACGCGAAGAUUGUGUCCGUUAUUUCGCUGUGACGUCACGACUUGUAACCGCUGUAAGAACGCUAUGGAGAGAAACUGCCCGUGAUGUCAGCCUCGCGAUGCUUCGUGUCGGUAUUCUAAUUUGCUUGUUCAAGCAUUAUAAUGUUUCGUGGAAUCAGAUGCAUGAAUUCGUAUGGAUUCGUCGCUAUUCAAUCAGAGGAACCUCUUUCAAACAUUUAAUCGUUUGACUUGACAACUAGUUGACAUUAAUAAAUUAAUGAUAAUGACAA